AUGAGCGCCCGGGGCAUGGCCGGCGCCGAGGGCUCGCCGGCGGGCCCGGCCCUCGGCGGCGUCGACCCCUUCGAGCAGGCCAGGAAGGCGCUGUCCCUGCGGACCCCGUUCGAGGGCGAGGAGACGGCGUCCAGGGCGCCCACCCUCCCCGCGCGCCUCGUCAGCUGGUCGGGGCCCAGCGACAGGCGCAAGAAGCACAAGAAGCUCGAGCUCCCGGACGCGGCCGCCGAGGAGCGCCCGCCGCAGCUCAACGCGGCGGCGCUCUCCUCCGGGAAGAAGGGCGCGUGGGACCACUUCGAGGCGUAUUUCAGGCCGGUCAGCAUGGGCGACGUCGAAAUGUUGGCGCCCAAGCUCCCCUUCGCCCACGGGGAGCUCGACCCGUGCCUCGCCAUCCCAUUUCUGGGCACCACCCAGGACUUGCUGGACCAAGGCGAGACGUUUGAUGUCGCUGUGGCUGAGACGAGCUCCUACCUGGGCGUGGGCGGCGAGGAGGUCGUCAGUACCAAGGAGCGAAGUGGGCAGACCAUCGAUUUUGUCAGUAGCAUGAGUGUGGAGCAGGGCAUACAUGAUGUGGUCGUGCAGCAGCUGGUUACUACCAGAGAGCGUGGUGACCAGAGCCUCGAGCAGCGCUUACAUGAGGCUGUUGUGAAGCGGGAGUGGCCAAUGGAAGUGGAGCAAGGUAGUAGCAGCGGCGGCACCGCGUCACCAACAUGCGCAGAUGAGGCAGGCACAUCGAUGAAUUGGCUGCUAGGAGCAAGGCAGCGAGUUGUGCUCACUUCUGAGAGGCCAAACAAGAAGAGGAAGCUCAUAGGUGUGGAUGCUGGGUUAGAGCAGCUUGUGCUGCUUCCACGCCUGGGAGCUCAGGCUGGGACGAUGUGCGAUGUUUGCUGUUUGGGAGAGACUGACAUGGCGUCAAAUAGGAUGCUUUGCUGUAACAACUGCAAGGUUUCCGUGCACCAGUGGUGCUAUGGUUUGCAUGUUGUGCCAGAUGGCCAGUGGUUGUGCACUUGGUGCAAGUAUGUGGAGUCGACAGGGUGCUCAUUGAAGAAAGAUGCAGGCAUCACCCUUUCAAUGCCGUGUUUGCUAUGCCCAAAGGAGAAAGGGGCCCUAAAACCUGUAAUAGGGGAGCCUAGUCGAACUGCAGAUGGAGGCAACCUAAAAUUCGCACACUUAUUUUGUACUCUUUGGAGGCCAGAGGCUCUUGUGGAGGACAUGGACUCAAUGGAGCCUAUUACAAAUGUUGGAUGGGUGCAAGAGAAUCAGAGGAAACUGGUGUGUAACAUUUGCAAGGUUAAGCAUGGUGCAUGCAUUCGAUGCAGCCAUGGGGCCUGCCGGACAGCCUUUCAUCCUAUAUGUGCACGAGAGUCCAAGCACCAAAUGGAGAUAUGGGGAAAAUCUGGACUUCCUAAUGUUGAGCUGAGAGCGUUUUGCUCAAAGCAUUCUUCAGUUGGAUAUGUCAAUUCUGUAGACAAAGGUAAUAAUGCAUCUGAGCAGAGGCCUACAGAAGUGAGGCUGAACGAUGCAAAUCUCGGCAGUGGAAAGAUACCAAAACUGAGGUUCACACGCAAGAAAAAGGACAGAUCCUUGAACCAUGAAACCAGUAGCUUUAACCCUGAUAACCUUAUCAAAGUAGAGACAAUGGAGCAUGGUGCUUUGCCCCAUAAAGUUAGAAAUUUAAAUACUCAAGCAACUCGAAAUAUGGAAAUUGAUACUGAUCAUCCCUCAGUUGGUGAGAAUCUUAUGAGAAACUCUGGUGAUAUUGCUAUGGUGCUUAAAAAGCUAAUCGACAGAGGGAAUGUUAGCGUGAGUGAUAUAGCAUCCGAAGUGGGUAUUUCUUCAGCAUCCUUGGAAGCUGCUCUCGUGGGUGAAACUACGACCUUUUCCCAUGGGUUGAAGUUGAAAAUCAUCAAGUGGCUUCAAAAAUCUGCACAUAUACUAGCUGUUCAAGCAAUCACUCGUAAAGGGAGCUCAGAGGUGGUGCAAGAUAACAAACGAGAUGGGUCUGACAGUACAGAUAGUGUCAAUGUGAAGAGUUCAUUAGUCCCAGAGGACAAAGGAGCUACAUUUGAGAUGUCAGAUUCUGCUGUACCAAAACCCUCAUCACCAAGAUCUAAAGAUAACGACAAGAUUCUUGAAGAAGAGAAGGCAAUACGUGCAACUGGAACUACUUUGGAAAAUGGAAAAAAGAAAGUAGUUAAAGGAAGUGCUGAUCAUGAGUAUUUUCUUGCUGAAGAUCUUGCAAAAGAAUAUACUGGAAAUUUGUCCCAAGUUGGAGGCAAGGAUACUUCAAAGGAAGUGGAUGAAAAAUUGAUAUCAAACAGCAUCUCUGGCAAUAAAGUAUUUGAUACUUCCAUGGAGAUACCAAAUCAACUUCAAGAUACAUCACUUGGAAGGAAAAGUAACGACUUGACUGACGCUGAACUUGGCUCGGAAGUGGAGGAGUGUGUAUCUUCAUUGGAUAAAACCUCUUCUUGGGUUGAUGAUGCUAAACAUGGGUCAGAUUCAGUUGAAAAUAGCAUAUGCAAUCAUCAUGAUUGUAAUAUGGAUCACGUUCAUGGACAGCCUUUUUUCAACUUUGAUGAUUCUCAUUCUUACAUCCAUCCAUUUAUCAAGACAAAGAUUGCUCAUUUAUGGAACCAUGAUUUGAAGCAGAAUAAGCAGACACAGUAUCGUCCUGAAGAGCAAUUAUGCUCUUCCGAUGAGAAAAGGCAUGUGGAUUCCUCAGUAGAACUUACGGAAACAACAGGAAUUGAUGUGACAGAUCAAAUUUCUAAGGCAAAAGCUCUGGGAAUCCUUGAUCAUUCGCCUGAUGAUGAAGUAGAAGCAGAAAUGUUGUUCUUACAAUCUAGGCUGCUUGACAAUGCUAUGGUUCUGAAGCAUAGAUGCGAAGACUUAAUAGUAAAGGUUGUCCAGAAUCUUUCUUGCGAGUUGGAUGUUUUCAGUAAAAGGAAAUGGGACUUCAUCCGUGUCAAUCAGUUUCUUCGUGACGUUAGAGAAGCUAAGAAACGUGGCAGAAAAGAGAAGAGACAUAAAGAAGCCCAGGCUGUACUAGCAGAAGCUGCAGCUGCUGUUGCAGCCUCCUCGCGUAACUCCACUGUGAGAAAAGAUGCAAAUGAUGAUGUAGGUCGUCGAGAGAGUUCUCCAAAAUUUGGUGCUGGAUCUUCAAGAGUUGGCCAGCGGACUCCUUCAUUACCACGGCCCAAGGAUUCAUCGAAGCCAUCCAACAGCAAAGUUUCACCAGUUACUAACUCCGGCAUUUUUCAUAUGCCAAUUUACUCAAAAGAAAAUGCACUCUACUGUGAUGUAUGCAUGCGGGGUGAAACUGUGUUGAAUCGAGUAUCUGUCUGCUCCGGAUGCAAGGCUGCUGUCCACAUAGAUUGCUAUAAGUAUCUAGAGAUAUGCAUUGGCCGCUGGAAAUGUGAACUUUGUGAAGAUAUUUCACCAGAAGCUGCUAGCUCUAGUGAUCAAUCUGACAGUAAUGACACAAAAUUAUCCCUGGUACGAUGUGCCCUGUGCCAUGGAACAUCUGGUGCUUUUAGAAAGACUAUAGAUGGGCGGUGGGCUCAUGCCUUCUGCGCUGAGUGGUUGUUGGAGACGAAGUAUAUGAGAGGACAAGAUGAUCCAGUGAGCGGAAUGGAAACCCUUGUAAAGGAGAAAGAUACUUGUUGUGUCUGCAACAUCAAAGUUGGUGUGUGUCUCAAGUGCAACCGUGAGGACUGCCACACCACUUUUCAUCCUUCUUGUGCUAGAGAUGCUGGUUUCUACAUGAACAGUAAAGGAUUUGGGACUGUGGUGCAGCACAAAGCAUACUGUGGCAAACACAGCAGCGAGCAGAAAGAGACUGAUGCCUGGAAGUACUGGCCCGAGGAAGUCAAUAGCUUGAAAAGGACGAGGGUUGAGUUGGAGAAGUUCCGCCUCUUAUGCGAGAGGGUAAUUAAGAGAGAGAAGGUGAAGAGAGAGACAGUUCUGUGUGACCAUGACAUACUCGCCAAAACCAAGGAUACUGUUGUUUUCUCCUACCGAACACCCGGAGCUAGUUCAGAAUCUGCCACUACUUCGGUUAAUAAUAAAUCAUGCAGUGGAACCAUGCAACGAUCUGAUGAUGUCACGGUGGAUAGCAGUAUUUCUGGGAUAAAUACCGUCAGAUUUUCCCUUAACAACAGAGAUGCUGAGGGAAACACAGCUGAUAGCUCAAGGACACUGAUAUCUUUCAAACGGAAGUUCAGUGAGAGGGGGCCACUUGCUGGUAAGCGACUUCCACAAAGAUCAGUGAAUGCCCUACUGAAAUUGGAAGAUGGAAAACAAAAAACAAAAGAUAAUAAGCAGGCAGAAACCUUUCAAAAGGAGCUGGUUAUGACAUCUGAUCAAGCGUCCACACAGAAUCAACGCCUUCCAAAGGGAUAUGCAUAUGUACCCCGUGAUUCUCUUUCUAAAGAGAAACCAUGGAAACGAAAUACACAGACCCAUGAACCACAAGAGCCUGGUGGAUAG
rnacentral:rRNA from 1 species